rnacentral:rRNA from 1 species
UGGGGAAUAUUGCACAAUGGGGGAAACCCUGAUGCAGCGACGCCGCGUGAACGAAGAAGGUAUUCGUAUCGUAAAGUUCUGUCCUAUGGGAAGAUAAUGACAGUACCAUAGAAGAAAGCUCCGGCUAAAUACGUGCCAGCAGCCGCGGUAAUACGUAUGGAGCGAGCGUUGUCCGGAAUUAUUGGGCGUAAAGGGUACGCAGGCGGUUUAAUAAGUCGAAUGUUAAAGAUCGGGGCUCAACCCCGUAAAGCAUUGGAAACUGAUAAACUUGAGUAGUGGAGAGGAAAGUGGAAUUCCUAGUGUAGUGGUGAAAUACAUAGAUAUUAGGAAGAAUACCAGUAGCGAAGGCGACUUUCUGGACACAAACUGACGCUGAGGUACGAAAGCGUGGGGAGCAAACAGG